rnacentral:rRNA from 1 species
UACGGAGGGUGCAAGCGUUAUCCGGAUUUACUGGGCUUAAAGGGUGCGUAGGUGGGCUAGUAAGUCCGUGGUGAAAUCUCCAAGCUUAACUUGGAAACUGCCGUGGAUACUAUUAGUCUUGAAUGUUGUGGAGGUAAGCGGAAUAUGUCAUGUAGCGGUGAAAUGCUUAGAUAUGACAUAGAACACCGAUAGCGGAGGCAGCUUGCUAGACAAUGAUUGACACUGAGGCACGAAAGCGUGGGGAGCAAACAGG